GAUGAACGCUGGCGGCGUGCCUAAUACAUGCAAGUCGAGCGAACAGACGAGGAGCUUGCUCCUCUGACGUUAGCGGCGGACGGGUGAGUAACACGUGGAUAACCUACCUAUAAGACUGGGAUAACUUCGGGAAACCGGAGCUAAUACCGGAUAAUAUAUUGAACCGCAUGGUUCAAUAGUGAAAGACGGUUUUGCUGUCACUUAUAGAUGGAUCCGCGCCGCAUUAGCUAGUUGGUAAGGUAACGGCUUACCAAGGCAACGAUGCGUAGCCGACCAGAGAGGGGGAUACGGCCCCCAUGAACAGGGAACCGGGCCAAGCCCCCAAGGGGGGCAGAAGUGGGGGAAGCUGCCACAUGGGGAGAAACCUGCACGGGAAAACGCCGGGGGGGUGAGAAGGGUUUUGGGAUCUUAAAACUCUGUUUUAGGGAAAAAAAAAAUUUGAAAAAAACUUGGCCCGUCUGGCGGGAACCAAAGCAAAAACCAAGGGGUAACUAGUU
rnacentral:rRNA from 1 species